UAGUCCACACAGUAAACGAUGGAUACUAGGUGUUGGAUGGUAACGUUCAGCGCCGGAGCAAACGCAUUAAGUAUCCCGCCUGGGGAGUACGAUCGCAAGAUUGAAACUCAAAGGAAUUGACGGGGGCCCGCACAAGCGGUGGAGCAUGUGGUUUAAUUCGAUGCAACGCGAAGAACCUUACCUGGGCUUGAACUGGUACUGCCAUACUGUGAAAGCAGUUAUUCCUUCGGGACGGUACUAGAGGUGCUGCAUGGCUGUCGUCAGCUCGUGUCGUGAGAUGUUGGGUUAAGUCCCGCAACGAGCGCAACCCUUACUCUUAGUUGCCAGCAUGUAAUGAUGGGAACUCUAAGGGGACUGCCCCGGCUAACGGGGAGGAAGGUGGGGAUGACGUCAAGUCCUCGUGGCCUUUAUGUCCAGGGCUACACACGUGCUACAAUGGUAUGUACAAAGGGUAGCGAGCCUGCGAAGGUUAGCCAAUCCCAAAAAGCAUAUCUUAGUUCGGAUUGG
rnacentral:rRNA from 1 species